GUGAGUGUUCUCGGAUUGCAAAUUUCAAACAACCGCCCUUUUUGAUGCAACGGAGAUAAACGCAGAGUUUAAGAGCAUCCCAGCCAUGCCUCUACAAUCAAAGUGUUUGCAAAGCGGCCGGGGAGCAGGGAAAAAAGCUGAAAGUCAUAUCUGCCAUGAUGACAGAUGACAUUGAUGCCAGAAGGGAGUCCCACAUUAAAGGACUGCAUCUAUCUGAAUGAGAAUCCCAACGUCUUGGAGCGGGAGUACACGGACAUGACUGAGGCCACUGCGCUGAGUGCCAUCAUGAAAACGACAGUGGGAAUUUACGUCACCAAACAGACGCCAGGCA